rfam:Triticum urartu cultivar G1812 contig1202555, whole genome shotgun sequence.
AUUGUACUCUCUCCGUUCGGAAUUACUUGUCUCGGAUAUGGAUGUAUCUAGAACUAAAAUACAUCUAGAUACAUCAAUUUCUACGAUAAGUAAUUCCGAACGGAGAGAGUACAAU